UCAUGUCUUGCCGCCUUUCUAGAACAGGCCGCUGCUAUUACGCUGUAGCUAAGUCUUAGAGGGGAGAAAAGACACAUAGUAAAGGGAGAGAAGAAAAGAAAGUGUUGUAUGCGCUCCGGACCGCCGCGGUGUGUUGUGUGCACAGCUCAUCGGGAGUAUUGUCUGUACAAGUGCAUCAUCAGUGCUGUGACUCUCCUACAAUCUCAUCCUAAGCACUGGGGCUGCAAAUAUCAAGGGCGUUGCAAACGAGCACAGAGCUUCGCAGGUCAGACUGACGGUGUCAGCUGGAAGCAGUGUUAUGGAACAGGAGAAAUAUUUGCCGGAGCUGAUGGCAGAGAAAGAUACCCUGGAUACAUCUUUUGUUCAUGCAAUGCGCCUCUUGGCUGAAGAGAUAGAGAAAUUUCAUGAGUCUGCGGGGAAGAAAGAAGAUGAGGAAAAGAAAUAUCUUGACAUAAUCGGCAACAAAAACAUAAAAUUAUCAGAAAAAGUCUUGAUACCAGUUAAACAGUAUCCAAAGUUUAAUUUUGUGGGGAAGUUACUUGGACCAAGAGGAAACUCUUUAAAGCGAUUACAAGAAGAAACUGGUGCAAAAAUGUCUAUCUUGGGAAAGGGUUCAAUGAGAGACAAGACAAAGGAAGAAGAAUUAAGGAACGGCGGAGAGGCAAAGUAUGCACACUUGAGUGAUGAUCUUCAUGUAUUAAUUGAAGUAUUUGCUCCACCAGGAGAAGCAUAUUCACGUAUGAGUCAUGCUUUGGAAGAGAUUAAAAAAUUCCUUGUUCCAGAUUAUAAUGAUGAAAUUCGACAAGAGCAAUUACGAGAGCUAUCCUAUUUAAAUGGUUCUGAAGAAUCCAGUCAGGGAAAAGUAACAAGAGGUAGAGGAUUAAGAAUAGUUCCUGCUACAACUGCCAGGAGUCGAGGAGGUGUAAUUCCCCCUCCUCUGCCUGGACGAGGCACACCAGUACCCAGAGGUUCACCUGUAUCACGUGGGGCAGUACCACUUCCACCUGCCACCCGUGGGAUUCCUGCAGCACGGGCAAGAGGAGCUCCAACUGUAUCAGGCUAUCGUGCUUCUCCCCCAACACUUGAGCCCUAUGAUGAUUAUGGUUAUGAUGAUGGAUUUGGAGAUGAUUUUGAUGACCAGAAUUAUGAGGAUUAUGAAGACAGCUACACAGUGCAACCACAGAGUGUACCAGAAUAUUAUGACUAUGGACAUGGGACAAAUGAGGAAAACUAUAACAAUUAUGUUUUAGGCCAGGAAGAAUGGUCCUCAUCGCGACCUAACUUAAAGGCACCACUUCAAAGAACAACUAGAGGAGGCUAUCGAGAGCAUCCGUAUGAUACUAUGUUUAGUCAAGAGCUGAUUAUCUAAAUUAGAGAUAAACGUUUAAAUAAAGCUCAUACAUACAUUCCUAAAAGAAUACUGGACUGAACAAGUUACAGAAGUCUUAACUAUUCCAGUGCCAAUGUUGGAGAUUAGAAGUCUUAAUUAUUCCAGUCGGAUGUUGGAGAACAGACCAUUUCGCUUGUAUGUUUCGGAUGCUGUACAACUUGACAUUAGGAAUGACGAUAUAACUGCAGAGACCAAGGAAGACACAUUUUCUCCUUUAAGGAGAACUUUGCCCCAUCUAUUCGAGUUGAAAUGGGAAAAGUGGCAUUCACCGAUGUGAUCCAUCAGCUAUCAUCUGUAGAGGAGGGUAAUAUAAACUCCCAAAAUCUAUGAUACUGUCCUAUGAUUAACUGACCAUUUAAGUGAAAUCUAACAAAUUAGCACACUGGUAACUUCUGAAACAACUCCUCCUCCAAGGCAGAGUGCACAGACCAAGGAUCAGAGGAAAUGGGCACAAAAGAGAUCCUAGGGGCAAGCCACCUUAUAAAAGGCAAAACCAACAUAUCUUGAUACAUUCUUUUGCAUUGCUACAUUUAAAACAAAUUAGAUUUAAUGUUCAACAUUGCAAAUUCAUCUUUCUUCUCUAUCUGUUAUAUUGCACUGCAGGAUAUAUUCGUUAAAGCAGGAUUAAUACUUAUUAUUGCAGUUUUAGCUGAGCACAAAAGAAAAAGAAAAUUUUGUAAAUUCAUUUGUUUAUAUUCCAUCGCCUUAAGUUGCAUCAGUGUAAAGUGCUUUAACUUAAGUUAUGCAAUGGCUCCGUAGAGGUGACAAUCUAAUUUAAAUACACAUACAAUGUUAAUGGUUACAGAGCCAUAUGCCAUAGUACACUCUACUCUAAUGAGCAUUGUUCUAAAAUAAAUGUUAUUUUGUAAAACUAGAAAUCAUGUAAUGUCAUUUUCAAUGAGUCUCUGUCUGACCCGCCUUCCUCUGUAUUCUCCACAUCAGCAGAUGGUUUAAGGACCUCUAAUUUAUCACUGUCUACUACUACAGACACAUUUUUAUUUUGAUGUACUUAAAGCAGUAUUGUGUAGUAUGGUAUAAAAGAAGCAACUGUCACCCAUCUUUGCAGUGGCAUAGAGGAAUUCACCACCUUAAUAAUCUGGGCACAUUCAAUUACUCCCCUAAUGGUUAUAUGUGCCUUUUUACAUUAGUGUUAAGCAGGACUUUAUGAAGUCACAAGAAGCAUCAUUAGCCAGGACUGAUACUCAUAGCCUGGAAUAUUUCAAAUUACACACAUCAUAUGUGGUUUAUGUAGCAGACAUGCAUUGCAGUUAGCAUAUGUGAGGCAUAUUCAACAAUACAAAACUGUAACAUACAGUAUCUCAGGAUAGCCAGCUACAAUUUGUAUAUUAUAUUCAUGUUAGCAUCACAGAAUCCUGCACAUUCAAAGAGUGAUAGUAAUGACAGUUGUGUUUAUACCUGUGCACUGAGUGGAGGUGGUCUCGAGCCAAUAUAUGUGCAAUCUAUAGCAGCCAAGAGAUAGGAAGAUUAUUAUUAUUGUUAUUAUUAUUAUUAUUAUUAUCAUCAUCAUUUAUAUGUAUGGUGCCUCAAGGGUUCCACAGCGCCUAACAAAGUACAUAAAUAAAUGAGGAAAACAAUGACAUACAGUACAAGACAAUGUAGGACAAAUACAUGGUAUAUUAGCAUUGCUGCAUCAGGGGACAAGUUAUUAAUAAUCAUCAGGGUGACAGGUACCAAGGGUUAAGUUCCAUUGGAGUAGAUGAUAGUCUAAAAGAGGGAAAAGCACAUGAGGGGAGAGAUCCCUGCUCAUGAGAGCUUACAUUGUGAAGGGAAGGGGAAGACAGACACGGGUGACACAUAUGGGGUAGAAGUGAGCAUAUACCAGAGGGUAAGGAUGAGGGAUGGGCUAGAAAUGAGCAUGCAGAGGGUUAGGAUUACAGAUGGCUGGAUUUGAUGAAGUAUUGGAUCUUGAGAGCCCAUUUUAAGUUUUGUAGAUAGGUGAAGAGUCUGAUGUAAGGAGAUGUAGAGAAUUCCAGAGGUAGGGAGCACCACAGCCAAAUAUUGGAUGCUGGAAUAGGAGGAAGUAAUCAGUAGGCAGGAGAGGCAGCAUGAAGUUGUGGAGCGAAGAGGGCAGGUGGAAGUGGAAGGGGAGAUAGGGUCAUAUAUGUAAAUGGGAGAGGAAUAGUUGAUAGCUUUGUAAGUGAAUUUGAGAAGCUUGAAUUGGAUUCAGAAGGGGAAGAGGAGCUAGUGUAGGGCUUGUAAGAGAGGGAAAGUGGAUGCUACAUAGUACGGGUGGAGAGGAAGAUGUGCCAGGCAGUAGCAUUAAGGAUAAAGUAAAGUGGAGAGAGGCAUUUUUGAGGGAUGCCAGAUAGGAGGAGAUUGCAGUAGUCCAAUCUGGAGAUGACCAGUGAGUGGAUGAGGGUCUUAGUAGCAUCCAGGGUGAGAAAGGGUCUGAUCCUGCAAGAGGUACUCAAUGUACCUCAUGACUAGUGAAAUAGUACU